UGUUUUACAUGUUUAUGGCUAUAGUAGA
rnacentral:piRNA from 1 species